AACAAUGAGAAAUGGGAUGAUGAUAAGUUAUGAGACAAUUA
rnacentral:guide_RNA from 1 species